GACGAACGCUGGCGGCGUGCCUAAUACAUGCAAGUAGAACGCACAGUUUAUACCGUAGCUUGCUACACCAUAGACUGUGAGUUGCGAACGGGUGAGUAACGCGUAGGUAACCUGCCUGGUAGCGGGGGAUAACUAUUGGAAACGAUAGCUAAUACCGCAUAAUAUUAAUUAUUGCAUGAUAAUUAAUUGAAAGGUGCAAUUGCACCACUACCAGAUGGACCUGCGUUGUAUUAGCUAGUAGGUGAGGUAACGGCUCACCUAGGCGACGAUACAUAGCCGACCUGAGAGGGUGAUCGGCCACACUGGGACUGAGACACGGCCCAGACUCCUACGGGAGGCAGCAGUAGGGAAUCUUCGGCAAUGGACGAAAGUCUGACCGAGCAACGCCGCGUGAGUGAAGAAGGUUUUCGGAUCGUAAAGCUCUGUUGUAAGAGAAGAACGGGUGUGAGAGUGGAAAGUUCACACUGUGACGGCAUCUUACCAGAAAGGGACGGCUAACUACGUG
rnacentral:rRNA from 1 species